GGGCCACUACUGACGCUGAGAAGCGAAAGCAUGGGGAGCGAACAGGAUUAGAUACCCUGGUAGUCCAUGCCGUAAACGUUGGGAACUAGGUGUGGGUCUCAUUCCACGAGAUCCGUGCCGCAGCUAACGCAUUAAGUUCCCCGCCUGGGGAGUACGGCCGCAAGGCUAAAACUCAAAGGAAUUGACGGGGGCCCGCACAAGCGGCGGAGCAUGCGGAUUAAUUCGAUGCAACGCGAAGAACCUUACCAAGGCUUGACAUAUGCGAGAACGCGGCAGAGAUGUCGUUCUCUUUGGACACUCGCAUACAGGUGGUGCAUGGUUGUCGUCAGCUCGUGUCGUGAGAUGUUGGGUUAAGUCCCGCAACGAGCGCAACCCUCGUUCUAUGUUGCCAGCACGUGAUGGUGGGGACUCAUAGGAGACUGCCGGGGUCAACUCGGAGGAAGGUGGGGAUGACGUCAAAUCAUCAUGCCCCUUAUGUCUUGGGCUUCACGCAUGCUACAAUGGCCGGUACAAAGGGCUGCGAUACCGCGAGGUGGAGCGAAUCCCAAAAAACCGGUCUCAGUUCGGAUUGGGGUCUGCAACUCGACCCCAUGAAGUCGGAGUCGCUAGUAAUCGCAGAUCAGCAACGCUGCGGUGAAUACGUUCCCGGGCCUUGUACACACCGCCCGUCAAGUCACGAAAGUCGGUAACACCCGAAGCCGGUGGCCCAACUCUUUGAGAGGGAGCCGUCGAAGGUGGGACUGGCGAUUGGGACUAAGUCGUAACAAGGUAGCCGUACCGGAAGGUGCGGCUGGAUCACCUCCUUUCUA
rnacentral:rRNA from 1 species